rnacentral:rRNA from 1 species
GUCAUGCCAAUGGCACUGCCCGGUAGCUAAAUGCGGAAGAGAUAAGUGCUGAAAGCAUCUAAGCACGAAACUUGCCCCGAGAUGAGUUCUCCCUGACUCCUUGAGAGUCCUGAAGGAACGUUGAAGACGACGACGUUGAUAGGCCGGGUGUGUAAGCGCAGCGAUGCGUUGAGCUAACCGGUACUAAUGAACCGUGAGGCUUAACCUUACAACGCCGAAGCUGUU